UUGAAGGAGGAAUGUCAGAGGUUGUAAAGAUGGGAGGUGUUGGGAGAGGAGUAGAAGAAGCCAUUAUAGGUACAGAAGUAGCGGGAGGAAAAGACUUACCAGAAGAGGAAAUUUGCAGAGGAGCUGGAGAUUUGGUUCCAGAGGUUUCUCCAAGUCUGGCUUUCUUUGCCUUUCUUGCUUCAUCAGCUAUCUUCCUCUCAGAAAGAC
rnacentral:lncRNA from 1 species